CGUGAUGUGAAAGCAGCAAACAUAUUGUUGGAUGAGGAAUUCAAAGCAGUUGUUGGAGACUUUGGGUUGGCUAAACUCAUGGACUACAGGGAUACACAUGUUACCACAGCUGUACGUGGCACAAUUGGUCAUAUAGCACCAGAGUACCUUUCAACUGGAAAAUGUUCCGAGAAAACUGAUGUUUUUGCAUACGGAGUCAUGCUUCUUGAACUCAUCACUGGGCAGAGGGCUUUUGAACUUGCUCGGCUUGCGACCAAUGAUGAUGUCAUGUUACUUGAUUGGGUAUGCUUAUACGUGUUUCUGUUUCUGUUUGUUGCUAAUUUUCUGUUUUCCUUAAUAUGUUUCAUAUUUUAUUAAAAAAAAAAGACAUAAUGUUGUUGAAAUUCAACGAUCUAUUGUGUCUCUUUGUCCAAAUCUUGGAAAUUAUGUUUCAAUACUCAUUUUUAAAGAAAUGUUAUAUAAUAUAGUGUGAAUUAGGUGUAUCUCUCGAUACCAAUGUUGCUAUUUAUUUAAGCCAAAAAUAAUGGGUCUCGACACCUAAUCACUUUAUUUCAAACCGCUAAUCUCAUAUGACAUUCUUAAUCAUUGUAUAUGGAACAUUUAAAAACCUAUUACUCAUCAUAGAGCUGCCAAGUUCCUCUCUAAUUAAUGUAAAAAUCACUUAGUCUUUUUUGGCCCGAAUAUUGAAAACAAUUAGAAUCAUGGAUCAAAGAAAAGAACUAAUACUUAACUUUUAGAAAAUAAUUUUAGUUUAAUUACCUUUUAUUAGUUAGACUUACGAUUAAACUGUGAAGAUUUAUUUAUCUUUAUUUAUAACAAUCUAAGAUUUAAAUUGUCAGAGAUUAAUUAUUACAUUUCCUUGGUAAUUGUUGUUAGUAUUGUUGUUGCUUCUUUUGCCAAUGUAUUGGCCUUGCGGUGAUUUCUUGAAGAUUUUGGCAUGUGUUUUGUAUCGAUCCUAAUUUCUUCAUUAUCUCUUUAUUCUCGCUAUCUUGGCCUCUUUCUUCUUUCUAUUCUCUGUUUGCAUCCUUGUCAUAUGUUUGCAUCAUAUCAAUAUUUGAAUGACGAUGCAUUUUUGUAAGCAGUUUGAUUUUAUGGAGAUACUGCAGCCCUUCAAAUUUUGAACAUUACAACACAUUUUCACUCUCCUAGGUGCCCUCACCUUUUGUUUCAAAUUGUAGAACUAUCUGAUUUUUUUCCUUUUUAUUUUAACUAAAAUAAUUAGGUCAAAGGACUACUGAAGGAUCAGAGGUUGGAAACAAUUGUUGAUGCUGAUCUACAUGGAAAUUAUGUUGACGAUCAAGUGGAGCAGCUCAUCCAAGUAGCUCUGCUGUGCACACAAGGCACCCCAGGGGAACGACCCAAGAUGUCAGAGGUUGGCCGGAUGCUGAAAGGUGAUGGUUUGGCUGAAAGAUGGGAGGAGUGGCAAAAAAAGGAGGUGUUCCGCCAAUAUUUCAACCCUAUUCAUCAUCCAAGUACUAAUCGGAUCAUAGACUCAACUUCUCAUGGUCCUCUAGAUGAGUUGUCCGGUCCUAGAUGAUAUGCUCGUUGGUUCCGUCCCCUUGUAUACAUGUAAGAAGCCUCAGAGGACUAGAGAAGGUCCAUUUUGUAUUUCAGUGAUACCACAUUUGUGCGAAUGUUUUGUCUUUGUUUUCGAUUUUGUUUUUGUGUCGCUUAUUUUUAAGAUCACAAAAAUGGAGCUGGUGCUGUUGUAAUUUUUAUAGGGUUAACUGGCAUUACGAAGUUAUAUUGUGCUAGCAGGAAUCAGGAAGGUCCAUAAAAGCACCCAUUCCUAAUGAUUUAUGUAUCUUUCCAACAAUUAGUCCAGAUUGUCGAGUAAAUAAUCUUUCUGAACUUAUAACUAUCUAUAUUUUUUAGUGUUCUUAUAGAUCCUAUAGAUACAUCCUAUAGAUACGAUAAGGGCAUUAGGUCAAGUGCAUGGGUGCUUGUGGACGGAUAGUGUUUGAAAUUUCAUUGUGAUCAUUGCAAGUGCAACUUUGUGGCGCUACCCUUAUAAGCACUUGAACUAAGGCAUUAGGGGAUCUAGAGAUCACUUUGUGUCACUCCAACAUGGGAAUUCGAGUUGUCUAUCCUCUUUAGAGAAUCGCCAAUGGAGACCCAAACCUAAAUAUUUGGGUUUAAACAAAAUAAAAAUGGAAUCUAACGGUGGGACUUUUUUUGUUUUUUUGAACAAAAAAUAUUAUCUACAUUAAAGGGGUAGGGGAUUAUGUUAAUCCUUAUAGUGAACAAAAAAUUACUAUUUAAUAUUUUAUAUAUUUAUUCAAAAUUUUAUAUUAUUAUAUCACUAUUUUAAUAUUUUCUUUGUGAUAUAUUUUUAUUUUUUUAUUAAUAUUUUCGGCCUGUGGGGUCCACAAUCACCCAGGCUCUUCUCUCAUUUUCUGCCAUGUGUUUUGUCUCCUCCCUCACUCCACCUCUCCCUCUCUCCCAUAAGACUCAUUUCCUCUCUCCUUCGGUGAAACCCAAUGACGCCGAAACCACCACCACCUUGCCGAUGCGACUCCAGCGGGUUACUCCACUUGAUGACCCAGGCUAGCACCACCUUCGUCAUUUUCUCCCCCUAUGUCGAACCAGCACCACUCACUUUCUUCCCCGAGGCCAUUGUUCACAUUUUUCUUUUUCGACAACAUUCAUGGCGAGUUCUCGUCGUUCAUGACAAAGGUAAGGUUCGAAAACCCUCAACAUCUUCGUAGAUUGUGUUUAUGAGUAUGACGAGGAUGUUCUUAAGAUGUUUUAGUGCUGGUUUGACGUAGAAAUACCCCAAGAGUAACAAACCCAGUGUUCCGGCAGAGAUCUGGCGGCUUUCGAGCCAUUUUUUGGCCAACUCCGGCCAAGACCAAGGAAACCAAAGGUAUAUUCCAAUUCCUUGAUCCGAAUCUGAACUCGGGAUCCGGCCCGAUCUGUUCUAAAUUGUAUAUGAAAUAUUCCAGAAUAUUCCCUGUGUUGACUUUUAAGAAAUUUUCUCAGAAACCCUCAUAGGCUAAUUUUGACGUCCCAAGUCCAUUUUUGACAUCUAUUUAGGAAAAUCAUGAAGUUUUAACAUAGUUGACCACCAAGGCGUCUCGUUGACAUUUUAGGGUUGACCGUUCACAUUUCGUUGACUUUUUACAAAAUUUGCAUUUAACCCCUCUUAGCGUAUUUCGACACUCUGAUUCUAAAUUCGCACUCCGUUUUCUCAAAUUUGAUCGUUUAAGUUGAGUUUUACUAAUGAGUCCUAAUAUUAUACUUUGGUGCGAUUACUAUCGGAGACUCCGACUUUCUUAGCUUGAAAGGAUGUGACAUCGCAGGUACUUGUGAGUGGGUCUUUUCUUUUAUAUAGUGUGUAUAUAUAUAUAUAUAUAUAUAUAUAUAUUUGUUAGUUUCCAUUUAUAUAUUUGGUAAAGAAUUUUCUAAGUUACACCUAUAUUAGGGUAACGUAUAUAAAAAUUAACGUAUUGACAGAAUUCAUGUAAUUAUACUACGUUCUAUGGGAUACACAGGUAUGCGUAUUAGUAUGGAUGCUUUAAUGGUAUUUACGGUUAUGAAUAAUAUUCCAUUGACUAGGGUUAUUGAAUUAUCGCAUUAUCAAUUUACCAUUGCAUGAUCAUAUUUGUGUUAUUUACUCAUCGUGUGCUGCACUGGUGUUAGUACUUGCCCAGGCCAGGGCCAAUCUUUCACGUGUAUGUUCACAUCGCACUGUACGCUUAGUUUGGAUCCAUUGUAGGUGUAAUCCUAUCCUAGAUUGCGAUAGGCAAUUAGGACUCAUAUGUGAGGCACUUAGCGCUAGCCUUCACGUGAUUGUAGUACUAGAGCGUAAAUCAUUGCUUACACCCAGUCAUGUUCAUGUCAGAAUACCUCUGCAUGAACUCGUGUAUCAGCAUAUGUCAAUGAGCACUCGAUGUGAUAUGUUUAUUUCUGCGAGAUAUUGUGAUUACUAUAAGUUAUGUACCUAUUUAUGAAUUUUGUGACGUAUUGAAUUCUUAAGAUUUUGCAGGCUACAGUAAGUAUUUUCAUACUAUACGUAGUAUGUAAAUUUUGGAAACUAUACUUGUUUUACGAUAAGGGGUUAUAAUGUUUUCAAAAAGCUUUUUAUAAAACUUUAUUUUAGGCCCACUCACCCUUGUUUUUCUCCCCUCUAAGAUUUAGUGGCAAUGUUCGUGUCGACAAGGAUUUCUAGCAAACGCUGAUAUCAGAGACUACUUCUGAUGGUAUAAUUCUCAAUCUACUCUAUUGUACUUUACUUAUACUCUGACAUCACAUGUGAACUAGGUUGAUUCCCGCUCACUAACGCACUCUUAUACUUAGGCACUUUUAGAUUUAAAUUUAUUUCCAUUUUCCAAAUCACUAUAUUUUAUGGCUUCGUCACUCUCCUGGUGUCGACCAGCACACCUCGAUUCGGAGCCUAAGUAGGCAUUCCGGGUCAGGGUGUGUCAGUUUGGUAUCAGAGCAUAAGUUUGGUCAGCAUUGCGUUCAUCACACGCGUGCUGUAAGCAUUCUUGGUUCUUGAACCUAAUUGUCGAAUCUUGUCACCUCGUCGAAUACAAAAAAUGUGUUAGCUUUUCUUGAGUUAUGGGUUACUUAGACGACUUAUUGACAUGUUAGAAGAAUACUUUGGCGACCACCUCUAAACUUUAAGCGAAGGAUUUUCCUGCCAAGGAAAUAUGUAGAUUUGAGACAAGUUGAUGGCCCUGAAGCAGGGCUACUAUAUCGAUAGUUGUGCAUCACGAGAGAUUUACCAACCAAAUCCACUACCAUCUGGUCAUUUCUACCAACCCUUUUAAGUUAGAAAACCAUAAACAGUUUUGAUUCCUUGGCAUUACCCGUUAGUAUACCACAUAUCAGAAUUCCUGUGAAGUUUUAGUUUUUGUCAAAAUUUCCAAAAAUGUCCCGAAUGACAAUGUGGUGCUAAAAGGGUAGCAUUCGACAGAAGAACAUCUAGGGGAUAAUCACUUUUGUUCCCUGAUAACACUAAUCUUCUUAAGCGCACUGGUUAUCAUUUCGGAUCCUCAGGAGGAAGAUCGAUUUCCAUUUAGGUUAUUAACAAAUUUCUUUUCCGGUGUGGACCCCACCAUUGACAUUUGGUCAACAGGUCUUGAACCAUUUGAAUUACUAAAAUUAGUAUUACUAGAGACUCAGUGAAGCUUUGCUGACUUGUCUCGGUGAGUGACUUUAAUAUAUGUGAUAUGGUGAUUACCCGAUUCUUUAUAUUACUAUCCUUUGUGGAUAUGACAUGGUUUUAUAAAUGUGUUUUCUGUUAAAAUGUGAUUCUUUUAUAAUUGGCCAUCGAUCUAUUUUUAUUAAAUGUGAUUUGAUUCAUGGAUUGGUAAUAUUUGUGAAAAAGUGAUUCGAAUUGCAUAUUGAAAUGUUUUGUAAAUUGAGGGCUAGUAGAGGACUAUGACCCUGCUUGGUUAAUCCGCAUUGGGGGGUCAUUAGUGGUCCUGCUUGGUUAAUCCGCAUUGAGGGACCAUACUAUAUAUGGAUCGUGCUUGGUUAAUCUGCGUUGGGCGAUCCUUAUGGCCAUUUAUACUUAGGGGUGAUCAUGCUUGAUUAAUCCGCUUGGUUAAUUCGCAUUGGGGGGGGGGUGAUGAGUUCAUAUUAUACUAUAUAUUUCACCCUAUUCUUAGUAUUAAUUUAUUGAUUAUUUUGGUAGAAUUUUGAUACUUUGUUUUAUAUUUUCAACAUAGGAUAUUCAAUUUCCUCUGGAACAAAACUUGACCAAAUGGACGAAAUUUCGAGUGAUUCAAAUUGGAGGACGUUCGUGUGUUGUUUGUGUCAAAAUAUCAGAAAUUUCUACCAAGCGGUUAUUUUCUGGAGAUUAAAUGAAGGAGCAGUGCGCAUUGCUGGAAAGUGACAUUUCUGGGCUUAAACUACAUUUUUGGAGCCCGAGAUGACUUCGGCUGGAGAAGUGUUCAGAAUAGUCCAAACUUUAGAUCCAGCUAUUUUGGGCCAGUUUAGGAUUAUAUUUCCUAUUUUAUUUCUAUUUAUUACGUUUCCUGGUUUUAUUCUAAGACCUUUUAGGGUUUUAUUUUGUAUUAGUAUAAAUAAGGCUUUUUAGCCAUUAGGUUAAGAAAUAGGGGAGAGAACGCACACAUUUUGGCUUUAGAGAGCUUUUGACGAAUCAAGUGUAUUUUCAAGGUGUUUUCUAUCCAUGUUUUUAAUAAUAUUUUAUUUUAUGAUUGUUUGUAAUUAGUUUUGUUUGCUAGGGUGAGGCCACGAGCCUUAGCAAAAAUAUGUAUUUUUUUUUUCAAUUUGCUUAUAAUAUUAUGCAUGCAAGUUUUGAAUUAUUAACCACUGUGCUUUAAACUAUCUAGUUGUCUUGAUGAUUGGCCACCAUUAGGAUAUUUAGAAAAGUAAUUUGAUGCAAUUUUGGUGGAGGGCUGUCCCUGGAAUUGGCGUUGGCUUCUUGUGGUUAAUAUGUGUAACCUCUUAGGAUGGACGACAUGUUUUAAGGGUUAUAUGGUUUUUCAAAAGGUUUUCACAAAACUUAAUGAGUCUUGCAUGUUCACAUUCGAUCUGGACGCCACAGACGGGUUUCAAGUAGGGCAUACUUUAGGAAAACCUAACCUUCAAAAUAUGCAUGGGUAAUUCAUAAGUAAUUGAAAGAACUACGUAGAAUUGUUAAGGUGACAACGGAACCCUAGUGCUCAAAUUUAUUUUCAAAACUAUUUUCUUUUGUUUUUUUUUAUUACUUUGCCAAUUUAUUUAAUUUUUUUUAAUAAAAUUCAUUUUUAAUAUUUUAGGUCAUAAAAUCAACCUCUUCUAAAUUUUGUUUUCAAAUCAUUAAUUAAGAUUUGGUUUUAACAUAAAUUAUUCAUUCAAUCCCUGUGGAGAUCGACCUUACUUGAGCUGCUAUACUAUGACAACCUUGUACUCUUGCAAGUAUUUUUAAAUGUUUUUAUCUCUAAUUUUGCAGGUGGUAAAAAUCCCUACCAGAGGGUCACUAGUGGUCUUGCUUGGUUAAUCCACAUUAGGGGACCAUACUAUAUGUAAAUCGUGCUUGGUUAAUCCACGUUAGGCGAUCCUUAUGGCCAUGUAUGCUUAGGAGUGAUCAUGCUUGGUUAAUCCGCAUUGGAUGAUCACUUCCUAACAGCUGUAGGAGUGACUCUGCUUGGUUAAUCCGCUUUGGGGGGGUCACUGCCUACUUGGUUACUUUCUCAUGGGUGGCUUUGCUUGGUUAAUCUGUUUUGGGAGGCCACUUCGUGUUUGGUUACUUAUGUAGGCUUCUGCCGAACUGCGUCCCUCUAGCCCUAGUUUUUAAUGUACAUAUGAACGAUGGUUUUUGAGAAUCUUGGUGGUUUGAAUGGGAAAAGCCAUUGGAUGUUUGGGUGACUCAUUCGGAGUUGUUAGAGACUUGACUAUGUUUUCAUAUUUACAAACUUAUAUUUGAGGUUUAUAAACUGUGAUUGAUGGUCUUUCUUUUUAUUGAUUAUCACAUACUUGUAUUAUUGUCACUCACCCGAUUUUACAUAUGACAGGCCUGGGUAGAUUAUGAGAAACCGCUUGAUAUUUUGGUUUCAUUGAGUAAUCCGGAACCCGGUGUCGUUGGAUUCCGUUGAGUGAUUCGAAAUCCUUGUUCUCGCUCAUUCCCAUAAGGUUAGUCUAGAACCCUAGAUUUGAGUGAAUGAAAAUUACCCACAAUAGACCUUGUGAAUAUGAAAUAGAUUUACCAUGUUAUUACUGAUAAUCCAAGUAGAAAAUUAUAUAGAGUUCCUUGGUUAAAUUUGUGAAAUGAUAUGUUAUUGCAUUCAUUGAUUAGCAUAUUUAAAUGCUAAGAUCAUGUAUCUUUGAUUCAUGAAUUGAUUGAUUGACGGAAUUGUGGAAUGACUUGGUUAUGGUUGUUAUUAUUUUGAUUAUUUUAGUUGAUCAAUGUGGCUUGAGAAUAAUAUGUGCUUCGUUGGUUAUUUGAUAUGUUACAUGUUGUGGAUGGAAGUAUCGUGCUGAAAACAUAGAAUUUAUAUGAUGGAUGGAAUGAGAAUCUUGAACGGCAUGUUGGUUUGUUUUGUAGCCAUGAACUUGGUAAUGUCAUGCAUGUCAAGUUCUAAUAAUUGAUUACAGAAUGCUAUGUAUUCCUAUUAGAACGCACUGGAAUAAAUGUCUAAAUUAGUGAACGAUGAACUACGAACGGCUUGAUCCCUAAUGAGGGUACGUAGGCAAUCUAACGAGGAGGUUAGAUGCAGCCAUAAAGUAUACGAAAAAUUACUAUGCGAUUCAAUUCUCAAGUUGUGAUUUGCCAUAUCCCGGAGGCGGGGUAUGUUGAGAUACGGGUAUUUGGUGACGUCACAUGUCGAUCCUGAACAUAUGUUGGGAUCGGGGCGUGACAUUUUUGAUCACUUCCAUAGGUAGACAGUAGAAUCAAAGUACGAGUUAAUUUCUUGCUAUUAAAGUGAAUUGAGUAUCGAGAAAACUAUGAAGACCUUUUAGUUCAUGUCGUAGAGUUGGGAAGUAGUAUUGUACGUUUUGAUGACGUAUAUCCAAGUGUCUAUUUCAAAAAUUUACCUGAGAUAUCACCAAAUUGUGAAGUAAGAUACACUAUCAACCUAUUUUCUAAUACGACACCUAUUAUCCUUGCAUCUUAUCGAACGACUCCUUUGACUUGAGAAACUUAGUUACAAAAGCUUAUCGAUUAGGAAUUCACCCAACCAAACACUUUAUCUAGGGAACCCUAAACCUAUCCAAGAAGACAAUAGGUUGAACCUUAAAACUGUAUCUAGAUUUUAGCAACUCUAUCGAGUGACAUUUAACUCCGUUAUACCAUACUUUGAAUUUAUGGUCUAUCCAACCAACCUCUGAGCCCAAGUUUUCUUCCGUAGCUUGUCAAAUUCGUAGUGGUUUUACCGAUGACUUUCUCACCUACCGUAGCAACGGGAGCAAAUUUUCUAAACACUGACAGUCAGCUUUAUACCAAAUUCCUCAAAUAUUACCUUUGUUUUAGAUUUCUUGGGAGACGUGAUCUCAACAGAGACGUUCUUGUCAAUUUCCAAAAAGGUUGCACAUGAAGAAGAUUUCAUAUUCCACAAAUCGUUGUGAAUAAUGCGAUAUCCUUGGCCUUGUUGGUUAUAUCGACAUUUCGUUAGUAACUUUUCAGCAGUGGUGUUUUUCCUUGCAAGUUGACCGAGGAAAAUCAGUUUAACUGAGAUGUGGAAUAUGAUUACAGUUGUGACAACUGAGGUGUUGUCUAUUUCUUACCCUUGUUCGUACACCUUUCGAUAACAUUGAAUGAUUUGGCUGCAUACUGAUAGAAUAUGACGAAGUAUUGCUUAUGUUUCCCAACGGUUGAAACCAUAUAAAGUGAACUAACUUACUAUUGACCUAGAGUCAACAAUUACCAUCUUUCCUUGAAACUGGAUGACACUUCUCUAUGGAGAAUCUUGUCCAAAAUCUGUACCAACCUUAGACUUCUCAAAUACAUCUUCAUUUGUAAUGAGCUAAAUUUCUGACAGUAGUGAUGGACGAACUAAAUCAACGUUUACGAUUACACUAUCGUGUAUUACCCUGGUUGUGUAAACGUAAUUACUGUUCACCGUAGUAAAAGAUGUAUCUACCCUUGAACAUUUUCAACCUGUCCUAUUCCAACUCAUUUGGAAUUCAUGAGUAUUGUUAUGACGUGACUUACGAAUCCUCAAGAAAUCGUUCGAGUGGUUAUAAUCACUUACUGUAUUUGAAUAGAGAUGAGAAAUAUCACCAUAAGUUCCUAGUACGAGGUAUUUUGUACAUGUGGAUAUUAUGAUAAUGUUUCGAUGAUUAUCUAUCAACUUGACAAGUCAGCUCACCUUCUGUUGGUCGAGAAGAACUACAUUUUAGACCACUUAUCAAAAUUUCUCAUUCUUGAACUUAUUAGACUUUUUGACGUUUUGAUCAGCAUCUAAUCUAACUGUGAUUCCCUAUUCACCAUCUUGGGCUGGAAAGCAUUCCAAUCAACCUUAGGUACGUCUUACCCUACAACACUUUGUAUUAUUUCUUAAGCAAAUAGAUUGUUUAGAUGAACCGCUGACAUUGAAGUUUUAGUUAUGACCAUUAACUCCUCAAUCACCUAACAAAUACUUUACUGAACGAAUCUUUACCAUUAGUGAUUGAAUAUUCUGAAAGCUACCGUUGUAGUGAGAUAUUAUGCAUUCAAUCCAGCCAUCUUGUACUCUAGAUUCGAUGAACUUGUUUUGACCCUCAAAUUCUUGAGUGUUCAUUUAGCCUUUUCGGCGUAAUGUUUCACUAAACCCGAGUGGAAAUUCAUAAUGAAUCUACUUGCUGAGGCAUAUGUGAAUUACAGUGUUUGGUUGCAUAGUGUGCAUGACACUACUGUAUCUUAUUAUGAUGCGCAUUUCGCUUCCAAGUUUUGGGAAGCCUUCUUGAAGGCCAUGCGUAUUAAGUUUUGUCACAUACCACAUUUCACCCUCAGACUAACGGUCAGUCUGAAUGAACUAUUCAGACCUUAGAUAACAUAUUUCUUUUGUAUGUUUUAUAGUUUUAACUGGUUAUGUUAGACACCUAUCUUUGCUUAUGUUGCGUACGACGAUAGUUAUUAUUAUGGUUUGGCUAUAGUAUUGUUUAAGCUGUGAUAUAGAGAUUUUACGCACGGAACAUGUUUGACAGACGAGUAUUGCGAACAAGUAUUCGAAUGAUCAGGAUUAAGAUGUAGCAAACUAUGAGAUAUUGACGAUGUCGCCGAAGAGGGUCAUGCGUGAAUGCAAUCAAGGCGUUAAUCAGAUGAUUUAUGUGUAUUUCCCAAUGAGGGGCAAGAUGGUAAUAUUGCACCCUCAUGAAUUAUUUGCUUGGUUAUUGUGACAACACCGUAAUAUUGAUAACUUAUUUAUUGUUUGGACUUGACCCAAAGAUACUACACUUAUUCUCGGAUUACGUGACGCUACAAGUGCAUAGGUGACAUUUUUCUAUGUUCAGUUUUGAUUUCAGUACAACUAUCUUGAUUCUACGUUAUUGUGUAUAUGUAUUUUAAUUUGACGUUAUGUUUAUAUAUAUAUUACCUUAUGUUUUUAUAAAAUAUAAUAUUAUAGUAUUGUGCUGAAGGAGAAGGAAAGUAUGAGUUUGGAGCCAUAAAAUAGGAAUCAUUGCACACCUAUCGCGACAGAAUGACAUUCUCUUUUAUGCAACCGCUCUAGCUUGAAUUCUUCUUUAUAUAUUUUCCUUCUGUCUUGAGUAUUUUAUGUUUAGCAACUUAUUUCAAAUUUUGGGGACAAAAUUUUUUUUAAGGGGUGUAUAUUGUGACAACUCGUCCCUACUUUUAUGAUUUUAUUAAUUUUAAAAGCGUGAAUUGGCAAAAAUGCUCUAGCUUGAAUUCUUCUUUAUAUAUUUUCCUUAUGUCUUGAGUAUUUUAUUUUUAGCAACUUAUUUCAAAUUUUGGGGACAAAAUUUUUUUUUAAGGUGGGUAGAUUGUGACAACCCGUCCCUACUUUUAUGAUUUAAUUAAUUUUAAAAGCGUAAAUUGACGAAAAUGCCCAAGAGGCGAGAUUAUUGACUUUCGUUGAUCGUUGUUUGUGACACGUAUGAGUUAUUACUUUACCGUACCCUUGAAGUACUCGAUGGUAAAAACGCAUAGGCGCAAGCGGAAUCGAAUUUGGAGCAACGAUGAAAAUUUUAUUGAACAAUGAAUCCGAAAAAUACUUUUGUAAAAAUUACUAUUUUAUAUUUUAUAUAUUUAUUCAAAAUUUUAUAUUAUUAUAUCACUAUUUUAAUAUAUUUCUAUGGGAUAUUUUUUAUUAUUUUAUUAAUAUUUUCGGCCCAUGGGGCCCACACUCACCCAAGCUCUCAUCUCAUUUUCUGCCAUGUGUUUUGUCUCCUCCUUCUGUCCUGUAAGACUCCCCUUUUUCUCUCCCUUGGUGAAACCUAGUGACACUGGAACCACCACCACCACCACCACCUUGCCGUUGCGACUCCGGCGAGUUACUCCACUCGAUGACCCAGGUUGGCACCACCUUCGUCGUUUUCUCCCCCCUCCAUGUCGAACGAGCACCACUCAUUUUCUUCCCCAAGGCCACUGUUCACGUUUUUCUUUUCUGACGACAUUCAUAGCAAGUUCUCGCUGUUCAUGACGAAGGUAAGGUUCGAAAACCCUCAAUAUCUUUGAACACCCUCAAUAUCUUCGUAAAUCCCGUCCCUGAUUUUCACUAUUGCAAAUUACGUAUGUGUAUUAAGGAGUUAUUAUAUUAUUUUUGGAAUUUAUAUUAAUUGUAGAGUGUUGAGAUUGUGUAUUCAAAAGAUAUCAAUGUGAAAAAGCUACAAUUAAAAAGUUGCCCUUAAUUAAUUAAGGAGAGGAAAAAAAAGGGAACUUUAACGAAAAGCUCCCGGUACUGUUCAUUUUAACGAAAAACCACAUUUUUACACUAAAAAGUCAAUCCUGGUACUAUUCACUUUACCCUUUAUUUUGUCCUUAUCGUUAAAACUCAAAGUUUUCAAGCCCUUUUCAUUAGUUUUCCUAAAAAAAAAAGAAAAGGAAUUUGGGGAGAGAAAUGAAGGAGGCUUGGCCAACGGGAAGGCGGGAGAGAAAGAAGGCUGCCAAUGAGAAAAAAGGAAAGGAGGAGGAAAGAGGGGAGGGGAGGGACACCAGAUUCCCUGCCCAAUUGUCUUUUCCGACCUGAACGCGUCAUUGCUACCACUUCCGACGGGUUUUCCGUCCAUUUUUUGGCGAUCCACCAUUUUUGAAAUAAUGUUCUUCAAUUACCACCACAAAGACACUCAUCUAGAGGUCAGGAAAAAAGCCCAAGCAAGAUUGGGGGUGUUGGAGUUCGAAUUGAGGACGAAUCAAAUGACACCCAUUUCAAGGGUUCCGGCGGAUCGAGGCAAAAUUGAAGGGUUCCCCGGCAAAAUUGGACCUCGGCCCAGGUAUGAAAAUUUCUCCCCGCACUGAUAUCUACAUGCCUGUAAAGUUUGGUAAUUUUUGGAAAUAGUUGAAUUUUCGGCAAGUCGGGGCUGCCGACCGCCACCCGCGGCGGCGGCCUGCCCAGUGGGCCGACGAUGUCCUUUUAAGUUCAAAUAGAUGCCUUGAUUUCAUAAUUGAUAUCCGUAUGACGUAAUUUGAUUGUUUGGACUUAGUUUCAUUACGAUACCUCAUGUUGAUGCACAAAACCGGAGGUUUUGGGACAAUAUAAAUCCGAUCGUGAAUCUGCAAGUAAUGUAAGUAACACAAGAUGUAUCGUGGUUCACCCCAAUGUUUGGGCUACGUCCACACUGAUUAUUGAAUUUCUUUAAGAUGCUGAAGAGGGAGAAAGAGAGUUUCUCUGUGAGGAUGAGAGCUCUGAGAGGGUGAAGGUACGGCCUAAGAAAUGGCCUCCCUUCAUGAAGAGAGUGAGGGGUCCUUUUAUAGAAUAAGGGCUCCUCACUUAUUACAUAUUUGCCCUUUAUUUAUUACAUAAUUACAUUUGAGUCCCCCGAGUAUUUAUACGAGAUCUAAAAACGGAGGCCCUAAGUAUGGUAUAAACAGUAAUCCCCCAAGUCUUCAGUCAAGAUAGUCUUUUGGCUGGAGACUUGAAAUUCAGUCCAUGUGUGGACCAAAGUAACUAGACAUCGUCUAGGACUGAUACUCGAUAUGAGGCGGUGCUCAAUCUGAAAUGAUGCUCAACUAGAAGUAGCACAUGUUGCGAGGCUGCUUGGCUUGUGGCUUAUGUUGUCUUGGUUGGCUUGGCUUGUGGCAUUGAAGGUAAGGGAGUCCCUUUUAUAGAAUAAGGGCUCGCUCCUCAAUACAUGAAUGAUAGGCUAGAGUUGAUGCUCGCGGCGAGGGCAUUGCUCAGCUGGCGACGAUGCUCUCUAAUGAUGGUGAGGGAGUCUCUUUUAUAGAAUAAGGGCUCGCUCCUCAAUACAUAAGUGAUGAGUUAGGAGUGAUGUUCCCGGCGAGGCGAUUGCUCAGCUGGCGGCGAUGCUCUCUAAUAAAGGUGAGGGAGUCCCUUUUAUAAAAUAAGGGUUCGCUCCUCAGUACAUGAAUAAUGGGUGCUUUCUAAUGAAAGUGAGGGAGUCCCUUUUAUAGAAUAAGGGCUCGCUCAUCAGUACAUAAAUAAUGGGCUAAGUCCCCCAAGUAUUUUUCAUGAGGCCCAGUUGAGGCCCAAUAAAUGGUACAUAAUGUAGUCCCCCAAGUCUUCGGUCAAUAGAGUCUGUUGGUUGGACACUUCAAAUUGAAUCCAAGUAUGGGCUGAAGUGGCGGUUGUUCGGAGGCGGUAUUUGUAUACCCUGCACUGAAGCUUUGUAGGUGAAGCUUUGCAAGUGAAGCUUUGAAGCUAGAGCUCUGUAAAUGAAGCUUUUAAAGCUAGAGCUCUAUAAAUGAAGCUUUUGAAGCUAGAGCUUUGUAAAUGAAACUUCUGAAGCUAGCGCUUUUGUGAAUGAAGCUUUUGAAGCUAGAGCUCUGUAAAUGAAGCUUUUGAAGCUGAUUGACAUGAGUGAUGGUCAUGAAUGUUUAUGUUGAUUGACAUGAGUGAUGCUCAUGGAUGUUGAUGAAUGAUGGUCAUGAAUGUUUAUGUAUGAUUGACAUGAGUGAUGUUCAUGAAUGUUUAUGUAUGAUUGACAUGAGUGAUGCUUAUGUAUAAUUUUGGAGUACUGGAUGUACUUUUGAUCACCUGAUUGGUGAUAAUAGCGGCAGGCUGCCAAAUAAUUUUGGAGUACUGGGCGUACUUUAGAUCACCUGGUUGAUGAUAAUAGCGACAGGUUGCCGAAUAAUUUUGGGAGUACUGGGCGUACUUUAGAUCACCUGGUUGAUGAUAAUAGCGACAGGUUGCCGAAUAAUUUUGGGAGUACUGGGCGUACUUUUGAUCACUUGGUUGGUGAUAAUAGCGGCAGGUGCCGAAUAAAUUUGGAGCCAUAGGGCCUGGCUCUUUUGGGCAUAUGGGCAUUCGCCCUCCACAUGACAUUGCAGCCCACUAUUUUGGGCUUGCCCUUUUUUUUUAAAAUUUUUUUUAUUAUUACCCUCUGAUGGGGUUUAUAUAGAUGUCUCCGAAAGAUAAGAAAAAUAAAUUAUAUCAUUCAAAAAUAAAUCUCACCCUCUGCUCAAUGGGUUAUGCCCAUAAUUCCCUUUUCUGCAUGCCAUCACCACCGCAAUUAUGUCUGCUUCUUUUUAUCUUCUUUUGCUUUCUGCUUUUUACUUUCUGCUUUUCUUUUGCUUUCGGCCUGGUUGGUGCUAAGACCUUGUAGUGGGAUGGCAAACAGCUUGGCAUCAUUAUGUCUGAAUUCCUUUAUCAUCGUGGUGCCGAACCACUUUCCAGUUGUGUGUUUAAAGGAACCUGUUUUACCUUCACUGCUUUUUGACCAUACUUCCUCCAUCUAUACCCAAUUGAAGUAAUGAUUACUCCCCUGGAGCCGAUACUAGACCGGUUGAGUCAUUCUGGGAGGCAGCGGAAUGUUGACGUCUGCAACGUGCGGACCGAAGCCCAAAUGCGACGUCGUUUGGCCUGCCACCAGAAGAAGAAACAAACCGAGCAAAACAUUGAAACUCACCAGAGAGAUCGCCGGAGUCAGAGCUUAAGAGAGUAAACACCCAUGAUCCAUGUGAAGAGAGUGAGAGAGUGAGAGCAUGAGAGAGUAAACUCAUCCAAAUUAGAGUAAACUCACACAACUCCGGCCACAGAGUCGUACUCUUCCAUACCAACAUUUCCAUUUCCAACACUACCCUCCACGUUCUUCUUCACCCUCCCUGCAAUCACACGGCACACCAACAUUGCCCUCUUGUCACCCUCCUUCGUCGCCACCACCGCUUUAUCAUGAGCUCUGCUGCUUGUCGCAGUUGUCAAAAUACCCAGCUCCGUCAACUCCCCAGAGAACUUGUUGAAGCCGUUUUUUAUAAUGAUGCAAACAUUGCAGUGUGGGAUUAAGUUACUUGGAGAGCUUGGUGGCAAAGGUGGUGUAGUGGAAACGGAUGAGCUCGUUGCCGUCAGCGAUGCAGCGGGGGUGUUUCUUGGAGAGCUUGGUGGCUUUUACUUUGAUGGAGUCUCUAUACUCUUUGAAUUUGGUGAUGGUAUCUUGGGUGUUAUGGACUUUAAGGAUGCGGUCGAUUUUGUAGAUUGGGGUUCUUUUUUCAGCCAGCUGGACUGGAAUAUGAUCUCCACUAUGUUCUUGCUAGUAUCAUCAGGACUCCGAGCUUGUAUGGUGUCUCUACCGUCACAAGGAGAAGAUCAACCUCGCUGGUCACGAAGAGAAGAUCAGCCUCCGCUACUCAAGCUCCGACUCCAGCGAUCUCUCUUGUGAGUUUCACUGUUUUGCUCGGUUUGUUUCUUCUUCUGGUGGCGGGCCAAACGACGUCGCAUUUGGGCUUCGGUCCGUAAAUUGUAGACAUUAACAUUCUGCUGCCUCCCAGAAUGACUCAUCUGGUCUAGUAUCGGCUCCAGGGAGUAAUGAUUGCUUCAAAUGGGUAUAGAUAGAGGAAGUAUGGUAAAAAAGCAGUGAAGGUAAAACAGGUUGCUUUAAACACACAGCUGGAAAGUGGUCCGGCACCACGAUGAUAAAGGAAUUCAGACAUAAUGAUGCUAAGCUGUUUGCCAUCCCACUACAAGGUCCCAGCACCUACCAGACUGAAAGCAAAAGAAAAGCAGAAAGCAAAAGAACAUAAAAAGAAGCAGACAUAAUUGCGGUGGUGAUGGCAUGCAAAAAAGGGAAUUAUAGGCAUAACCCAUUGAGCAGAGGGUCGGAUUUAUUUUUGAAUGAUGUAAUUUAUUUUUCUUAUCUUUCGGAGACAUCUGUAUAAACCCCUUCAGAGAGUAAUAAUAAAAAAUUAAAAAAAAAACGGCAAGCCUAAAAUAGUGGGCUGCAAUGUCAUGUGGAGGGUGAAGACCCAUAUGCCCAAAAGAGCCAGGCCCUAUGGCUCCAAAUUUAUUCGGCACCCUGCCGCUAUUAUCACCAACCAAGUGAGCAAAAGUACGCCCAGUACUCCCAAAAUUAUUCGGCAACCUGCCGUUAUUAUCACUAACCAGGUGAUCAAAAGUACAUCCAAUACUCCAAAAUUAUUUGGCAGCUUACCGUUAUUAUCACUAACCAGGUGAUCAAAAGUACGUCCAGUACUCCAACAUUAUACAUGAGCAUCACUCAUGUCAAUCAUACAUAAACAUUCAUGACCAUCAUUCAUCAACAUCCAUGAGCAUCACUCAUGUCAAUCAACAUAAACAUUCAUGAGCAUCACUUAUGUCAAUCAGCUUCAAAAGCUUCCUUUACAGAGCUCUAUCUUCAAAAGCUUCAUUUACAGAGUUUUAGCUUCAAAAGCUUCAUUUACAGAGCUCUAGCUUCAAAGCUUCACUUGCAAAGCUUUCACCUACAAAGCUUCAGUGCAGGGUAUACAAAUACCGCAUCCGAACAAUCGCCACUUCGGCAUAUACAUGGAUUCUAUUUGAAGUCUCUAGCCAACAGACUUUAUUGACCGAAGACUUGGGGGACUACAUUAUGUACCAUAUAUUGGGCCUCAACUGGGCCUCAUGAAAAAUACUUGGGGGACUUAGCCCAUUAUUUAUGUACUGAGGAACGAGCCCUUAUUCUAUAAAAAGGACUCCCUCAAUUUCAUUAGAGAGCACCUAUUAUUCAUGUACUGAGGAGUGAGCCUUUAUUUUAUAAAAGAGACUCCUUCACCUUCAUUAGAGAGCAUCACCACCAGCUAAGCAACCGCCUCGCCGCGAGCAUCACUCCUAACUCAUCACUUAUGUAUUGAGGAGCGAACCCUUAUUCUAUAAAAUGGACUCCCUCACCAUCAUUAGAGAGCAUCGUCGCCAGCUGAGCAACUGCCUCGCCGCGAGCAUCAACUCUAGCCCAUCAUUUAUGUUUUGAGGAGCAAGCCCUUAUUCUAUAAAAGGGACUCCCUCACCUUCAACGCCAUAAGCCGAGCCAACCAAGGCAACAUAAGCCACAAGCCGAGCAGCCUCGCAACAUGUGCUACUUCUAGUUGAGCAUCAUUUCAGAUUAAGCACCGCCUCAUAUCGAGUAUCAGUCCUAGAUGACGUCCAGUUACUUCGCCCACACAUGGACUGAGUUUUAAGUCUCCAGCCAAAAGACUCUAUUGACUGAAUACUUGGGGGACUACUGUUUAUACCAUACUUAGGGCCUCCGUAUUUAGAUCUCGUAUAAAUACUAGGGGGACUCAAAUGUAAUUAUGUAAUAAAUGAAGGGGCAAAUAUGUAAUAAGUGAGGAGCCCUUAUUCUAUAAAAGGACCCCUCACUCUCCUCAUGAAGGGAGGCCAAAUCUUAGGCCAUACCCUCACCAUCUCAGAGCUCUCAUCCUCACAAAAAAGCUCUCUCUCUCCCUCUUCAACAUCUCGGAGAAAUACAAUAAUCAGUGUGGACGUAGCCCAAACAUUGUGGUGAACCAUGAUACAUCUUGUGUUAUUUACAUUUCUUGCAGAUUCAUGGUCGAAUUUACGUUGUCCCAAGACCUUCGGUUUUGUGCAUCAACAUAUUUGAUGGAUGAAAUAGAAACCUUGAUUAUCAUGUGGGUUGUUAUGUAGCUUGAAUUGAAUAAUUCAUGCUUGUCAAGUCCAACUGUUUGAUUGAGGAAUGUUAUGCCUUUUGGCUUGAGUGAAUAGUGUUAUAUGUCGAGUUAUAAAGACGUUGAACUACGAAUGGCUUGAUCCCUAUUGAGGGUACAUAGGCAAUCUAACGAAGAGGUUAGAUGCAGCCAUAAUGUAUACGCAAAAUUAUUAUGCAUCUAGAUCUUGAAUUAUAUUUUGUACAUAUCCAAAAAGGCGGGAUACGUUGAGUUACGAGCAUUUAGUGACGUCACGUGUCGAUCUGAGAUGUAUGUCGGGAUUGGGGCGUGACAAUUUAUCCCAGCCAUCUUUUUCCAGAUUCUGACGGUUGUAGCGGCAACCAGCUGAGAAGAAGAAAAAAAAGAAAAAAAAGGAAAAAAAAAAAAAGGAAGCCUAGAUCCGCGACCCGGAUCUAGCCCAACCUGAUUCUAAAAUGCAUAUGGAAUAUUCUUAGUGUUGACCUUUAAGAAAUUUUCUCGGAAAUCCUCCUAGGCUAAUUUCGACGUCUAGAGUCCAUUUUUGACUUCCAUUUAGGAAAAUUUUGAAGUUUUAACAUAGUUGACCACCGGGCCGUCUUUGUUGACUUUUUAAGUUUGAUCGUUCACUUUUCGUUGACUUUUUACAAAAUUUGCCUGGGACCCCUCUUAGCGUAUUUCGACGCUCUGAUUACUAUCGGAGACUCAGACUUUCUUAGCUUGAAAUGAUGUGACAUCGCAAGUACCUAUGAGUGGGUCUUUUCUUUUAUAUAGUACAUAUAUAUAUAUAUUUGUUAGUUUCCAUUUAUAUAUUUGGUAAAGAAUUUUCUACGUUACGCCUAGAUUAGGGUAACGUAUAUAAAAAUUAACGUAUUGAAGGAAUUCAUGCAAAUAUACUACGUCCUACGAGAUACACAUGUAUGCGUAUUAGUAUGGAUGCUUUAAUGGUAUUUACGGUUUUGAAUAGUAUUCCAUUGACUAGGGUUAUUGAAUUAUCGAUUUACCAUUGCAUGAUCAUAUUUGUGUUAUCUGCUCAUCGUGUGUUGCACUGGUGUUAGUACUUGCCUAGGCUAGGGCCAGUCUUUCACAUGUAUGUUCAAUUCGCACUGUACGCUCACUUUGGAUCCAUUGUAGGUGCCAGUCCUGUCCUCGAUUGCAAUAGGCAAUUAGGACUCGUAUGUGACGUGCUUAGCACCCGUUUUCAUGUGAUUGUAGUACUAGAGCGUAAAUCAUUAUUACACCCAGUCCUAUUCAUGUCAGAAUACCUUUGCAUGAACUCGUGUGUCAACAUAUGUCGAUGAGCACUCGAUGUGAUAUGUUUAUUUCUGCAAGAUAUUGUGAUUACUAGAAGUUAUGUACCUAUUUACGAAUUUUGUGACGUAUUGAAUUCUUGAGAUAUUGCAAACUACUGUAAGUAUUUUCAUACUAUACGUAGUAUGUAUAUUUUGGAAACUAUACUUGCUUUACGGUGAGGGGUUAUAAUGUUUUCAAAAAGCUUUUUAUAAAACUUUAUUUUUAAGCCCACUCAUCCUUGUUUUUCGUCCCUCCAGGAUUUAGUGGCAAUGUUCGUGUCGACGAGGAUUUCUGGCAAACGUUGAUAUCGGAGACUACUUCCGAUGGUAUAAUUCUCAAUCUACUAUACUGUACUUUACUUAUGCUCUUAUAUCACGUGUGAAAUGAGUUCAUUCACGCUCACUAGCGCACUCUUAUACUUAGGCACUUCUAGAUUUAAAUUUACUCACAUUUUUCACAUCACUACUCAUUAAUGAAAUCUUUAUUUUCCUAAAAGAUUAUUGCCUCAUAUGAGAAAGUCCCUAUAAUAUAAACCCUAAAUUUGAAGUUUACAUAAUUUUAUGUGAUAAUUUCAUUGGAAGCUAAUUCUUUUAGUUAAUUUAACUUGAUUUUAUUGUAAAAUAUUUUUUGUGUAAUAUUAUUACCCAAAAAGGUUCAAAAUUCUCAAAGCCAAAUUUUAUUCCAAUGGAGUUUUAAUGAAAAGUCCGCGGUACUGUUCACUUUAACGAAAAACCACAUUUUUACACUAAAAAUUCAAACUUAGUACUAUUCAUUUUACCUUUUAUUUUGUCCUUAUCAUUAAAACUCAAAGUUUUCGAGCCAUUUUCAUUAGUUUUCCUUUUAUUUGGGAGUUUUAACGAAAAGUCCGCGGACCCGGCUUUGCAACCCGGACCCAGCUUCUCUGCUCUCCCAGUUUCCAUACACUCUCAUCCCCUCCUAUUUUGUGCGAUCACGAUUAAGCACGUUAACAUUUUAUAUUGAUUUUUUUAUAGACAUAAUAAGACAAAAAACGAUAGUGAUAUAAAAUAUUGACGUGACUUAACAUUUGACAAAAAUUGAAGAUAAUUUUGUUUUUUUGACUAAAUGAUCAAAAUAAUUGGUGGCGAAUAAAAUCAGAAAUCUCACUUUGAAGAAACGAAACUUCCGACGUGGUGGGCUGCGACUUUUGACUGAUUGAGAGUCCUCCAUCCGCAGCUCCUCCGUCUUCCUCCCAAGCCUUUUACCUUUUCUUUCUUUCUUCUCCAAAACUAGCAAUCUGAGAUUUGAACCUCUCUCUCUAAGAAGCAGCGGCAUGCUUUUCCAAACGUAAUCUGCAAUUUAAUCAAACAGCCACCGAAUUUUCUGGAAUCCUGUCAACGCAGAGAUGCUUCGGAUUUUGAUCGGUCAACGCCAGCUGCUUACCUGAGCUCCAAAAGAUCCAACAGUGAUGACGUCCUCCACCUCUGUUUCUGUUUGGCUGAUUCUGCUGUUUGGCUUCUUUCACCUCUACAAGCUUGCUGCCAAUGUCGUCUCUGUGUGUUAUUGAAUUUGGGAGUGUUUGGUUGUGGGAACCGGAAUGAACUAAUGAAUGAAUGAAUGAAUGACUGAAUGACUGGAAACAUUCCCGAAGAGCUUGGGGGUUUGUCAGACUUGGUGAGCUCGGAUCUUUACUUGGCAACCUUGCAAAACUGCGUUUCCUAUAUGAACCCGCAUCCUUUUGUUAGAUAAAAUCUAUCGUCUUUCUUUUUUAUUCGAUAUGCUAAUCUGCUGUUUUUAAUUGUUCCAUUGGAGUGACUUUCUUCCUUAAAGUCCUUGUGCCGGAUGCAUAUAAUUUAUAGUAUGAUCCCUGGUUUCAAGAUUCACAAGAAGGGAACAUCCAGUCAUUGCAAGUCCUGUGAAUUUCAUACACUUUCAUCUCAGUAAGAGGGAGGAGAGAGUGAAAAGUUACUAAUUUCUCUACCAUCGGAGAAUGCAAAUAACAUAUAGUUUUGCCAUGGAAUGCAGGGAUCUUUCAAAUAACAAUCUGACAGGGAAUAUUCCAGUUAAUGGAUUCUUUUCACUUUUUACUCCCAUCAGGUUUGUUGAAGCAACUUUACUCUUUUUCUUUAACUUUAGGGACAAAAAUAACAAUCUGACAGGGGAUACACUUUCAUCUCAGUAAGAGGGAGGAGAGGGUAAUAUAGCUUGAUCAAGUUGGUGUUGUAGUUGUUGUAUGGGAUGCAGCUCAAAAACUUUUCUUUGCGCGACCUACAAGUUGCAACGGAUACCUAUAGCGACAAAAAUAUUAUUGGUAGAGGUGGAUUUGGUAAGGUUUAUAGAGGACGCUUAGCUGAUGGAACUCUGGUUGCUGUAAAAAGACUUACACAGGAGAGAACCCAAGACGGGGAACUACAGUUCCAAACAGAAGUUGAAAUGAUUAGAAUGGCUGUCCACCACCGCAAUCUGCUUUGUCUGCAUGGUUUUUGCAUGACACCAACAGAAAGGCUGCUUGUAUAUCCUUAUAUGGCUAAUGGAAGUGUGGCAUCUUGUUUAAGAGGUACUCAUCUAAAUUGUUUGCUGCGUUGAUGAAUCUUUUUGUUUUCACGACGUUAAAUUUUUUUUCGAUCACAUUGAUAUAAUGAAUUUAAAAACCUGACCAAUUUGGCUUGGAGUAUCAGCACUAAUUUUUUUAAUGUUUUUUUUCCUUCAAUUUUAAGUUACCUUCUCGAUGCUGAUUUUAUUUCUGUUUAAUUUGAAAAGGAUGACAAGAAGACCCUUUUUUUGGGUAGGACGGGUGGUAUGAUAUGUGUUAGACCACAUUACCUAUUGCUUGUAAUUUGAAAUUCUCCUCUCAUAAGUAUGUGGAUAUAUUAUUGUAGGUCGUCCGGAAGGACAACCUGCACUUGAUUGGCCAAUAAGACAACGCAUUGCAUUGGGAUCUGCAAGAGGCCUUGCUUAUUUACAUGAUCACUGUGAUCCAAAAAUUAUUCACCGUGAUGUGAAAGCAGCAAACAUAUUGUUGGAUGAGGAAUUCGAAGCAGUUGUUGGAGACUUUGGGUUGGCUAAACUCAUGGACUACAAGGAUACAUAUGUUACCACACAUGUAUGUAGCACAUUUGGUCAUAUGGCACCGGAGCACUUUUCAACUGGAGUGUCUUCCGAGAAAACUGAUGUUUUUGGAUACGGAGUCAUGCUUCUUGAACUCAUCACUGGGCAGAGGGCUUUCAAUCCUCAGCUUGCGAGUGAUGAUGAUGUCAUGUUAGUUGAUUGGGUAUGCAUUUACGUCUUUCUGUUUGUGUAUGUAGCUAGUUUAUUGUUAUAUGAUUAUUUCCCAACAACAUUUGCAUUUCCUUAGUAAUUAGCUUUUAGAAAAUAAGUUUGGUUUAAUUAGCUUUUAUUAGUUAGAGUUAUGAUUAGCUGUGUAGAUUUUUUUAUCUUUAUUUAUAACAAUCCAAGGUUUAAACUGUCAGAGAUUAAUUAUUGCAUUUCCUUAGUAAUUGUUACUAUUGUUGUUGCUUCUUUUGCCAAUGUAUUGGCAUUUUGUGAUUUCUUGAAGAAUUUGGCAUAUGUUUUGUGUCGAUCCUAAUUUCCUCAUCAUCUCCUUAUUCUUGCUAUCUUGGCCUCUCGCUUUUUCCUAUUCUCUCUAUUGCAUCUUUGUCUUCUCUUUGCAUGAUAUCAAUAUUUGAAUGACGAUACAUUUUUGUAAGCAGUUUGAUUUUCUGUAGAAAAAAGUUUGAACAUUACAACACAUUUUUGUUCUCCUAGAUUCCCGCACCUUUUGUUUCAAAUUGUCGAACCACCCGACAAUUUCUGUUUUAUUUUUCCUAAAAAAAUUAGGUCAAAUGACUACUGAAAGAUCGGAGGUUGGAAAGACUUGUUGAUGCUGAUCUAAAUGGAAAUUAUAUUGACGAUCAAGUGGAGCAGCUGAUCCAAGUAGCUCUACUGUGCACACAAGGCUCCCCAGGGGAACGGCCCAAGAUGUCAGAGGUUGUCCAAAUGCUUGAAGGCGAAGGCGAAGGUUUGGCUGAAAGAUGGGAGGAGUGGCAAAACAAGGAGAUGAUCCGCCAAGAUUUCAACACUAUUCAUCAUCCAAGUACUUGGAUCAUAGACUCACCUUCUCCUAAUUUUGUGUUGUACUAUUUCUGUGAGUUUGAAGAAAUGGAUAAAAAGAAAGGAAAACCAAUGAAAAAGGCUUGAAAACUUUGAGUUUUAAUGAUAAGGACAAAAUAAAGGGUAAAGUGAAUAGUACCAGGAUUGACUUUUUAGUGUAAAAAUGUGGUUUUUCAUUAAAGUGAACAGUACCGGAUGCUUUUCGUUAAAGUUCCCUAAAAAGAAUGACAUGUGAUAGAGAGUUCAUCAUAUAGCUUCUGACUUUAAGGAUUUUUCAUUUAGUUCUAGUUCAUGUUGCGCAAAAAAUAUUAGGUAACACUGCUACUGGGGCUAUUGCAGGAGGGGUUGCUGUUGGUGCUGCUUUACCGUUUGCUGCACCUGCAAUUACACUUGCUUAUUGGCGACGGAGAAAACCACAGGAUCAUUUCUUUGAUGUACCUGGUUAGUGAACUAUAGGAGUAAUAUAGCUUGAUAAAGGUGGUGUUGUAGUAUGGGAUGGAGGUUUCACUAAUCUACUGUCUUUGCAGCUGAGGAGGAUCCAGAAGUUCUUUUAGGACAGCUCAAAAGGUUUUCUUUGCGCGAACUACAAGUUGCAACGGAUACCUUUAGUAACAAAAAUAUUCUUGGUAGAGGUGGAUUUGGUAAGGUUUAUAAAGGACGCUUAGCUGAUGGAACUCUGGUUGCUGUAAAAAGACUUAAAGAGGAGAGAACCCAACGUGGGGAGCUACAGUUUCAAACAGAGGUUGAAAUGAUUAGCAUGGCUGUCCACCGCAAUCUGCUUCGUCUGCGUGGUUUUUGCAUUACACGAACAGAAAGGCUGCUUGUAUAUCCUUAUAUGGCUAAUGGAAGUUUGGCAUCAUGUUUACGAGGUACUCUUCUAAAUUGUUUGCUGCGUUGAUAAAUCUUCUUGUUUUCACGAAAUUAAAAAAUGGGUAAAUUACAUUUUACACCCUCAGGUUUGAGUGUAAUUGUAACCUCAUACAAUAUUUUUAAAACAUUUCAAUUUUAUACAUUUCCUUAUCAUUUCUAGCAAUUUCAUACAUCUGUUAGUCAAACCGUGAGUUUGACUGUUAAGGAAUGACAUGGCAAAUGUGAGGUCCACAUUUUUAUUGACGGGGAUGCCAACUAUGAUUCACGUGGAAUAAAAACAAAUAAAAAAGAUUAAUAAAUAGAAAAUUAAAUUUUUUUAUAAUUAAAAACUAAAAAAAUAGAAAAGAUAAAAAAAAUGGUGUUGUUCAUCCCUUUCCUGCUCUCACCCCGUCCCCGCAUUCUUCAUUUCCCCCCGCCCACCAUCGCCACCUUCCCUUUCCUCAGCCACUGCAAUGAAUAGACCACAUUACCUGUUGCUUGUAAUUUGAAAUUCUCCUCUCAUAAGUAUGUGGAUAUAUUAUUGUAGAUCGUCCAGAAGGACAACCUGCACUUGAUUGGCGAAUAAGACAACGCAUUGCAUUGGAAUCUGCAAGAGGCCUUGCUUAUUUACAUGAUCACUGUGAUCCAAAAAUUAUUCACCGUGAUGUGAAAGCAGCAAACAUAUUGUUGGAUGAGGAAUUCAAAGCAGUUGUUGGAGACUUUGGGUUGGCUAUACUCAUGGACUACAGGGAUACACAUGUUACCACAGCUGUACGUGGCACAAUUGGUCAUAUAGCACCAGAGUACCUUUCAACUGGAAAAUGUUCCGAGAAAACUGAUGCUUUUGCAUACGGAGUCAUGC
rnacentral:lncRNA from 1 species